AUGUCUGGCAUAAAUUCUCUGAAACAUGGCUAUAUUUGGCGUGUGGGGAAUGGACAAAAUAUAAAUAUUUGGGAAGAUGCAUGGAUCCCAAAUUGUGAUACUAGAAAAGUUGUGACACCUAAGGGGGGACAACUGUUAACUAAGGUGGGUGAUUUGAUUGAUCCUGUUUCGAAUUCUUGGGACGAAGAUCUGAUUACACAAACAAUGUGGCCCAUUGAUGUUCAACGGAUUCUCUCAAUUCCAAUCUCACAACAUGAUAUGCCAGAUUUCAUUGCUUGGAGUUAUACGAAAAAUGGUAUGUUCUCGGUUUGGUCUGCUUAUUUUGUAGAGUGGGACCAUCAGUAUGGAAGUAGACUAAGACAUUCUAAUGGGAUGGGGCGAAGCACAAUUAAUCCUAUUUGGAGUAAGAUAUGGAAGUUAUCGUGUCCGGCAAAAGUCAAAAAAUUUAUAUGGCGUACAUUACAUGGAACGCUUCCAUGUCGGGUUACGCUCGCAAAUAGACAUAUGAAGGUCAUGCCCAUUUGCCCUACUUGCUCUGAGGGUUCUGAAGAUACAAAUCAUAUGUUUUUCCUUUGCAGUAGAGCAAAGGAGGUUUGGAAAAGGCUGGGGAUGGAUGAUAUCAUUGAUAAAGCUUGCAAGGUUGACCUUGCGGGAGAGGCGGUGCUGGAAUACCUACUACUUCUGCUAGAUCAAGAUUUGAGGAUAAUGGGUUAUCACAAUGUGCGUGAAAUGAUUGCUGUCUCAGCAUGGUAUCUAUGGUGGGAAAGACGAAAGUUAGUGCACAAGGAGACAACUCGAAUGCACUUCAGAUUUCAAUGGGGAUUCUAG
rnacentral:rRNA from 1 species